rnacentral:lncRNA from 1 species
GGGUACAAGCUUCUGGGAUUCUGAUGAUAACUUCAUUCAUUCUGGCCUAGCUCUUCCUUCCCCAGUACCUGAUUCUGUCCAUUCCCUGUGUCUUGCGCAAUUAUACAAUCUAGCCAACCUCUUCAUUGUUCCAGACCAGUCAUUCUCAACGCUGGCUGCACAGAGGCAUCACUUGGGGAUUUAAUUUGUCUUUGUUGGAUCCUAGGUCUGCAUAUAUUUAAAGUGAUUCUCAGAGAGGACAUAGAAGGUUCCAAGUGGGCGUUGUUGAUUUUGGAGUCUUUGAUCUGGCACUGCAUUUAUCACUGUGUCUGGGAAUAUGGGGCUCACCCUAUAGGCACUUAUAGGGGUCACAGGAUGAACACAAGGCACAAUGUAAUUAAACUGCAUAGCUGGAGAAAGUUUGGAAACUACGGGUUCCAAGAAAACUCUUCCCUGUGACUUGGCAAGGAGCUCAAGAAUGACAACAUAAUCAGCCAAUUAAAUGUAAGCUGGAAGCCUGAUGUCCUUCAGGAUGAGUUUACGGGAAGAAGACAAAUAGUUGUGAAUCUUGGUUCUUCCUGGAAGAAACUGAAGUGGACUUUCCUCCUGUCUGAUACUUCUCUGUCUUCAAAAGUGGAAGCACUCAAAGCUACUCUAUCCAAGCAAUAUGACUACAAUCAAGAGCUUGUACAAUGAUCUCUUCCAAAUGAACUGGCACCACAGCAGAACGGCGGGAAAAGUGCUUCCACAGCCAAACUUUCCAAUGUAAGGAAAGCAAGGACAUGGCGCCAGGAUGGGCAUUGCCUCU